AUCGACUGUAUAAGGAUGGCUAGAAAUUUCUUCAGUUCUCCAUUCUCCUUCCUUAAGACUGACAACUCUCUAGGCAAAAGAUGGAAACAAUCAGCUCCAGCAGUUUCCUGUGAUAUGGCAGAAGUGGAGCCAAGAACCAGUGGACCAGAUACAGAAGAUCACAUAUUAGCUGCUUGGGACACAUUUUAUUUAAGAGAAGCCAGGUUGAAUAUUUGUAUGAUCUUUGUUAGUAGUACACCUUCCUUCUACUUUACAGAAACUCAGAAUCAUAGAAAUGAAAGGGGCCUUGAAAAUCAUUUAAUGUUUUGUCCAAUUCUACCAUUUUUCAAAAGAUAUGCCCAAUGUUCAGUGAAAUUAAAUGACUUGUCCAAAGUUCCAUCUUUAGUUAGUGGUAGCUCUGGGAUUAGAACCUAAGUCUCCUGAUUUCCUGUGUAAAGUUCUUGCUCCCACAUUAAAUAGCCUUUAUGUUAGACAUAGUAACCAUACACUCUGUAUUUUCUGCCAAUACCAGUUUCAUAAAAUUUGUUAAAUACAGAACUAAGUAAAUGUGACUUUGUAGGAUUUUUAAAUGAGGAAAUUGACAUAUCAAAAAUACAGGCCGG